AGUGUUGACCUUCCAUUUUUUUCUCAGGAUCCAGAACAUGAGGAUGAUCGACGGGAAGCCCGAGUACAAAAACGGAUUGGAGGUGUUGCUGCGAGUGGUGAAAAACGAGGGUUUCUUCUCUCUGUGGAAAGGUUUCACGCCAUACUACGCUCGGCUCGGUCCUCACACAGUUCUCACCUUCAUCUUCCUCGAGCAGAUGAACCGCCUCUACAAGACCCACGUCCUCGACCGCUGACACACACACACACACACACACACACAGGAACACACACUGCAACACACACUGCCAUAAGCACACACGCAGCCAGCAUUUUGAAUGAAGCUCAGUGAGAGUCAGUGUUAAACCAGGACUGUACCUAGUUACAAACACACACACACACACACACACACACACACACACACACAUUCUGUGUUGUAAGUUCUUUUUGUAAAGAAAAGAAUGUAAAAUAUAGUCCAAACAUAAUUCAGUGAUGUUUUCAGUAGUUAAUAAUGAUAAUUAAUAAUAAGUCUUAUUUGUAAUGUCAUGACCCUCCCCUCCCCUCCCUCCCGGCCAGACACACGGCAACAUGGGAUUGCUGGGUAACCAUGGUUACAACCAGUGAAAGAUGGAUAAUUAAACAUUAUCUGAGCCUCA